CAAAAAAAAAAAAAAGGUGCUGCAUCAGACCCAGGAGCUGGGGAACUCAAACAGAUGAGCUGGCCAGGAUGUGGAGCCUGCUGAUUGGCCACGGACAGACGGGGGUUGGUCUCGGCAGGGACUUUUGAGAUUUGCUUCAGAUCUUCCCUGGGGCAUUUUCGAGAGGAGAAGGCAGACUCUGGCUCUGUGCUCUGUGCGGCCUUGGCUGAAUUACUGCAACUGAGCCUCCGCUGCUUCACAUUUGCACUAGGGCGGCGGGGCUGGGGACCAGACACUUCCUUGCUGCUGUGAGCAGGGCCCACACACGUCCCCGCUUGGAACCAGCGCGCAGCCAGGGCCACAUGCGCUUGGAAAGUGAGGCCGGCGAGAAGGAAUACAGAAGGCCAGCGCUAACUGCGUCCCAGUUUCUUUUUUAUUAAUUUUUUUUCUUUUUUUUUUUUAAGUAUGGAGGCUCAAGUAUAAGAUGUAGAUUUUUUUUCUUAAGCUUUACAAAAAAACAAAAUAAAACAAAAACCUCCUUUUGCAUUCCAUAGAAAUUGACAGAAAAGCACCUGGCCGGAAGAGCGGAACGGUCGGCGGCCCCCGCCCCCAGCCCCCACCCCGCGGCCUCCGUGGGACAGGCGAGUCUGUGCAGGACGGUACCGAGGGCCACCUCUGCUCCCAGAGCUGUCCCCUGUCCCCACGACCCCCAACCCCAAGCAACUCCCAAACACACACGGAAUAAGAUUUCCAGUUUUUCUUCUCUCUUUCACACACCACAGUUAGUUCAUAAAAUUUUUUUGUUUUACAUUUUUUACACCAAUGUAACAAAAAGGUGGGAAGGAAGGGAGGCUGGCAGACAGUGGAUUUUAGGCCUAUAAAUGGGGGGACGGGGAGGAAGACAGGGGGCCCGGGUGAACAAAAACCACAUGGUCUCUAUGGAAAUGUGGAGAGAGCUGAGAGCGAGGUGUGGCGGAAGCAGGCUCGGAGCCGGAGGAGGGUGGCUAUCGGCUUUAUUCUCAGGGAGAGAUGGCGCUGUGCAGUCAAUGAUGCAGCUGUUAUGUGACCUGUUGGGGAGGGAAGGGACGAGGGGAGGGAGCAGAAAACGAGUUUUCUAAGAAAGGAAUCUAACGAGUGCACGGCGUGUCUGGUUAGCACGAAGCAGAGGUUUAGCAUUGCUGCUUUCUCUU